AGGCUACCUUGAAUUAAAGGUGUUUCUUCACUCAGUUCUCCAGCCCUUCGACAGGUCCUGAGCGAGUAUCCAAAGGGAUCCGUGCAGCCCAGGGGCCUUGCCGGCCCUGAGCACGUCUCAAACCAUCCCUGGGCAGCUCUCAGAGGUGCUCCCUCCGCCCCGCCGCACCCCGCUUGGCCUCUGCCCCCCGGGUGCGGCUCGUCGCAGGGCGGGGCUGCGGUACUGGGGGCAACUGAGGGGCCCUGCCAGCCGGUGUAGCCACCUCUGCUUUCGAGGGGAAGAGCAGGGCCCGCCUGCGAGGAAGUGCCCAAGUAGGAACUAAAGAGACGCGGGCAGGUUCCAGGCAGAAGGGUUUUCUCUGUAGGUGAGGCUGUGUGUGUGUACGAGCGGUGUCUGCCUGCACGCGCGCGUGUGCGCGGGAGAGAGGACAGGAGGCGCAGUGGGAAGGACCUGUGUGGACCACACCGUCUGCUGAUGUCCCCAUGAGCUGCUUUGGAGGCGGCGCUGGAGAGGGACAGUGUGCAGACAGCGGGCUCUCAGCAUCCUGCAAUUCUCCUCAAGGUGAGACCUUCCCAGCCCCCGGCCCCAGCCCACGUGUGGACCCCUGGUUACCCCCAUGCUCCGGUGUUGCCCAGUGCAGGCCUGGAGCAGCCAGGGAGCCACAGGGACCUGAAACAACACGCGUCUGUGUGUGACUCAGCCGGGGCUUCCCCGCAGCCUCUGGGCGCAGGAAGUUUACCUGGGAGGGGAGGCUGGAGAGGAGCCGGGGGGGAGAGGCAGGGGGCUGCAGACCCCGGGAGACCUGCCCAGCCGCUGGACAGUAUGGGCAGCUCUGGGGCCAGGACGAGGAGUCUGAGUGCAGGCAGGAGCUCCUUCUGCAGCCCAGCAAAUCCUCCACUGGUCUGGGUGAUCAGAGGGGGUGCCUGCCCGCGGGGCUCACAGUGGCGUCCGUCCAGACUGUGCCUGCAGCCACCUCAACAGCCUUCAGGUCAGAUGGGCCACCUCUUCUGAUUGAGGCAACAGGAGGGUGAGCUGAUAGGUCCUCACCCCACGCUUGGCAAAUGCCAAGGGCCCGUCCCUGCAAACAAAGAACCAAGGUCAGUGGGUCAGGGAGGGAGGAAGAGCCUCCCUGAAACUGCCCCAGCUCCGCCCCUGGAUAGUGGGGGGCCAGGUCCACAAAGCUCCCGCCCCCGAAAAGACAGAGGUAACCGGCUCCCGGGAAGCAAGCGGCUGCCUGCCUGCCGGGGGCACAGAGGAGCUGCUGCCGGCUUGGCCUGGCGGGUCCGCACCUGAUGGGUCAGUAAUCCGGAGGGUGAGCCCCCUUCGUCUGUUCCUCAGAGAACAGGGCCACCCUUUCUGGCUUCACGGUAGCAGGAAGGAGUUCUGGGCCAGGUCUGGAUUGACAGCAGCUGCCUGGGGGUUAGGUUGAAGGCAGAACACUGAUUUCAGGCCAGGUCCUCUCUGCCGAGGAGGCAGUAG
rnacentral:lncRNA from 9 species